UACAGAGGGUGCAAGCGUUAAUCGGAAUUACUGGGCGUAAAGCGCGCGUAGGUGGUUUGUUAAGUUGAAUGUGAAAUCCCCGGGCUCAACCUGGGAACUGCAUGCAAAACUGGCAAGCUAGAGUAUGGUAGAGGGUGGUGGAAUUUCCUGUGUAGCGGUGAAAUGCGUAGAUAUAGGAAGGAACACCAGUGGCGAAGGCGACCACCUGGACUGAAUACUGACACUGAGGUGCGAAAGCGUGGGGAGCAAACAGG
rnacentral:rRNA from 1 species